GGCUUGUACCAGAGACAAUUACUAGAUCACAGUACUAGUAUUUGUCAAGUUCAAGACGUCUAACAUUACCAGACUAAAAACUUCUUAAAAAAAAUUAUUAAUAGAAGUUAAGAAUUAGUACUGGCAAUGAUUAGUACAAGCAGAACUAACACCUACCUACCUAACGAUCUGCCCCCCAUAAAGAUAUGGGCUUGUACCAGAGACAAGUACUAGAUCACAGUAAUAGUAUUUGUCAAGUUCAAGACGUCUAACAUUACCAGACUAAAAA